UGUAGCGCCAUGGAUAGUGCGUUGGACUUCUAAUCCAUAAAUCAUGGGUUCGAAUCCCACCUGAAAAG
rnacentral:tRNA from 1 species